rnacentral:rRNA from 1 species
ACUCCUACGGGAGGCAGCAGUGGGGAAUAUUGCACAAUGGGCGCAAGCCUGAUGCAGCCAUGCCGCGUGUGUGAAGAAGGCCUUCGGGUUGUAAAGCACUUUCAGUCGUGAGGAAGGUGGUAGUGUUAAUAGCACUAUCAUUUGUACGUUAGCGACAGAAGAAGCACCGGCUAACUCCGUGCCAGCAGCCGCGGUAAUACGGAGGGUGCGAGCGUUAAUCGGAAUUACUGGGCGUAAAGCGCAUGCAGGUGGUUGUUAAGUCAGAUGUGAAAGCCCGGGGCUCAACCUCGGAAUAGCAUUUGAAACUGGCAGACUAGAGUACUGUAGAGGGGGUAGAAUUUCAGGUGUAGCGGUGAAAUGCGUAGAGAUCUGAAGGAAUACCGGUGGCGAAGGCGGCCCCUGGACAGAUACUGACACUCAGAUGCGAAAGCGUGGGAGCAAACAGGAUUAGAUACCCCUGGUAGCGACUGA